CAGCAGCCGCGGUAAUACGAAGGGUGCAAGCGUUAAUCGGAAUUACUGGGCGUAAAGCGUGCGUAGGCGGUGAGUUAAGUCUGCUGUGAAAUCCUCGGGCUCAACCUGGGAAUGGCAGUGGAUACUGGCUCGCUAGAGUGUGUCAGAGGAUGGUGGAAUUCCCGGUGUAGCGGUGAAAUGCGUAGAGAUCGGGAGGAACAUCAGUGGCGAAGGCGGCCAUCUGGGACAACACUGACGCUGAGGCACGAAAGCGUGGGGAGCAAACAGGAUUAGAUACACCCGUAGUCCCUGUCUCUUAUAC
rnacentral:rRNA from 1 species